AAGCCGCACCCCCAUCUACCUACUAACCUCAUCCCACCUCCUUGACCUGUUCGUCUUCCCUGGACUGACCUAUCCUCUCCUCUCCACCUUCGGUCCGCCUCCCCCUCUCUUCCUAUUUAUUCCAGUUCCCUCUCCCCGUCCCCCUCUCUGAUGAAGGGUCAAAGCCCGAAACGUCAGCUUUUGUGCUCCUCAGAUGCUGCUUGGCCUGCUGUGCUCAUCCAGCCUCAUUUUAUUAUUUUAGGAGAGAGAGCUGUUUUGGUUUGUGAUACAAGAGACGAGGCUGUCUAUGCCUUUCACCCAUCGGUCGCUCUCCUCCUGUUCCUGCCUCUAUGCACACAGUCUGCCAGGCAUAGUCUUCCUCCCUCUGUGUGUGUGUGUGUGUGUGUCUCUCUCUCUCUCUCUCUCUCUUGCUUCAGCUCCUAAAACCGAAGAUGCAUCGGAUAUAAAAACACGCACAUAAACACACACACACACACACACACACACACACAUCAACAAGCCAUGGAGAAAGAUCAGGAAUUACUGCAAGCUGUCAAAACCGAACAUGUAGCUGCAAUGCGGAAGCUGUUGCAAAGGCCGAAACAAGGCAAAGCGAAUUGUGAUGUCGGUAACUGGAAAGCCUCCAUUGUUGGAGGACGAGAAGCCGUAUCCAAUUGAAGCAGCACAGGCUUCUGCGAUGACUGUGGAAACCACUGCUUAUGCCUUGCUUCAAGCAUUGUCAAGGAAUGAUAUUGACUGUGCAACACGAUUGCGAGGUGGCCAACGAUGCAACAGAACUAUGGUGGUGGAUUUCACUCGAUGCAGGACACAAUCAUUGCCUUGGAAGCUUCAUCAUGAUAUGACAUUGCAUUUCUGAAGAGGGAAGAAGAAAUCAACAUGCAAAUUCAAUUCCAUGGUUUUGGAAGUCCCAAUGAGAACACGAUUCAUGUGCGCUGGCACAAUGCUCUGACCGAGAAAGAAUCGAAGAACCAUACAAUUAGACUGUUUUGAUGAGGAACUUAAAGAUUACGAGUCCCGUCCGUUUGACUCAGAGUUUGGUACCAUCGGUUGGUACGAUCUUCGUUGGAGAAGGAAAAGGGAUGUUCCAGAUACAGAAAAUAGUCAAACCAUUUACUACAAAGUCCGUUUCUGGGUGGAGUUAGUGGAACCGAAAAAGAUUUCUCCCUCACAGCGUUUGUGACAAAAGAAUUGCAUCGUUCCUUGGCGGCCUUUCAACAGAAGAAUAUUCAGAGAUUUCCCGAGUGUAAAUCCCCUUCCUCUCCUGUUCCUACUCACGCCUUUCCCCCGCUCUCCGUCGGCGACGAGUCCGCUGUCUGGAUCCCUUUUCCCAGGAGGGUUCUGAGGACCCAGCUGUUCGGCAGCGGGGAUCAUCGCACCACGCUCCCGGACCCCUACAACCUCAUGUUCUCCAGCGGCCUCCAGCAUGACCACCGGGCUGGGAGCAGGCAUCCGGGCUGCUGGAGCGCUCGCUGCUCAGUGGCUCGGCCCUGCGUCGGGAGCGGGGAUCCAAGGUGGGAGAAGGCCUCUUCACCCGGCGCCUGGGCACAGCUGCCUGGCACCGAGCCCGAGCAUCCGGCCACGGGUCCGCGACGCCUUCCGUAGCUGAGCAGCCUACAACUAUGUCCUACUGCAAGGUAAGCUGGGGGUGGUGGUUUGGGGUGAAGGGAGGAUUGGGGACAUGAGCACGGUCCCUGUUUCACAUCGUGCGCCGCUCCUAUCCCAAAGCGAGGUGUUGGGAAUGGAUGUUUUGCGGGUGAGAAUUCCCCUCCCCGGGUGAGGGGAAGGCUGGGGACAUUGGGAGGGUGUCUAUUAUCCAGCCUUGCACGGGUUUCCGUAGCCGACCAGCCUGCAGCUCUCGUACCACAUGGCAAAGGGAAGGAGGCGGAUGGGAUGGGGUCGGGGUUGGAGGAUAGCCGUCCUGGAAGUGAGUGGACAUGGGGAGAGUCACUAUUGUACAGCCCAGUGACUGAGUGGCCGACAGCUACUGUAAAAGGGUCGGAUUAGGAGAGGGGUGUUGUAGGGAGGUUUGGGGUCACGGGCAGCGCCGCUUUCUGCAGCCGAACAGCC